GACGAACGCUGGCGGCGUGCUUAACACAUGCAAGUCGAACGGUGAAGGGACCAGCUUGCUGGUUCUGGAUGAGUGGCGAACGGGUGAGUAACACGUGAGUAACCUGCCCCCUUCUUCUGGAUAACCGCAUGAAAGUGUGGCUAAUACGGGAUAUUCUGGGUCUGUCGCAUGGCGGGCCCGGGAAAGAUAUUGCUUCGGUUGGGGAUGGGCUCGCGGCCUAUCAGCUUGUUGGUGGGGUGAUGGCCUACCAAGGCGGUGACGGGUAGCCGGCCUGAGAGGGUGGACGGUCACACUGGGACUGAGACACGGCCCAGACUCCUACGGGAGGCAGCAGUGGGGAAUAUUGCACAAUGGGCGCAAGCCUGAUGCAGCGACGCCGCGUGAGGGAUGGAGGCCUUCGGGUUGUAAACCUCUUUCGCCAGUGAAGCAGGCCUGCUCCUUGUGGGUGGGUUGACGGUAGCUGGAUAAGAAGCGCCGGCUAACUACGUG
rnacentral:rRNA from 1 species